rnacentral:lncRNA from 1 species
CACCUCCUUUCAGCCGAAACAGUGAGUCACUCAUCCGAAAUCGAAAAUCACAGAAUCUCAGCAUCCAACUGCAAUCAAUUCCAGAUCAUACAAACAUCGAUUUUAAUUAGAUUUGCAAUGCAUCCUGGCCCCGAACCUUCGUUGUCGAUCAUGAAUCACGACACGAGAAGCUCUUGCCUCAUCGGAUGAUAUUAAAUGGAGUUUCAUCACACCCACCUUGGUCCGUAAUGAAUCGGCCAAGAACUGACCUUCGGAGAUGUCCACCAUUCAGUGACAAUGAAGUUGCUAUUUAAAAAAAAAAACAUGUACUGAAAUCAGUGGAGGAUCUGAAUCUAAUAACACUCCUUACCAAAAUAGAAAAGAGGAAACCAAACACUUAGCUUCGAUUUUGUUAUUGGAACUCCUGGAAAAUGAAGAACGCUGGCCUUUGAUUUUGUGAUCCUCGAACUCAUCGAAUGAAUGCCUCGGCUGCCGAUUUGAAGAUGGUGUACGCUUUGAGUUGCAAUCUAGAAGUUUUUCUCAGCUUCUUCUUCAACAAAAUCAGUGAAAUUAAAUGUCAACAGAAUCUGCUGAAAUCAGAAUCUUUGCGCAACAAAUGUACAAGUAAAGAUUGAGAAGACUCAGCUCAAUCUUUAUUCUGCGAUUUUCUGGAAAUCGGCACAUCAACUACUCUGAAGCAUCUUCAGAGAUUUUGAUGAUCAAGUAACAACGAAGAACUCCUUCGAUCUUCAUCUGUUCCGUCUUCAAUCAAGAGAAAGACCGACCGAGAGACAAAUCCAGAGAGCGAGAGAUAGAUCCUGAACGCGAGAUCCAGCCAGAGAGGAAUUGUCGGAAUCUCUCUUGCGCGCGAGACUACUGGCAAAGCAGAACAAGAAAACGGUUGGAAGCCUUCGCUGCUGCUGCCGUCGCUACCGCCAUCGUCGAUCGGCUUCGGAGCUCGAGAAGAUGUAGAUGAGGAAGUCCAGAUUCCCAAGCCAAAGAGAGAGACCGAUUUUCACCUUGAAUCGAUUCGGCCGUCAAACCCUAGAUCGCUCUCCGAGAUGCA